rnacentral:rRNA from 1 species
CUAAGGAGACUGCCGGUGGACAAACCGGGAGGAAGGUGGGGAUGACGUCAAGUCAUCAUGGCCCUUACGGCCUGGGCUACACACGUGCUACAAUGGUCGGUACAAAGGGUUGCCAAGCCGCGAGGUGGAGCUAAUCCCAUAAAACCGAUCGUAGUCCGGAUCGCAGUCUGCAACUCGACUGCGUGAAGUCGGAAUCGCUAGUAAUCGUGAAUCAGAAUGUCACGGUGAAUACGUUCCCGGGCCUU